GACGAACGCUGGCGGCGUGCUUAACACAUGCAAGUCGAGCGGUAAGGCCCUUUCGGGGGUACACGAGCGGCGAACGGGUGAGUAACACGUGGGUGACCUGCCCUCAGCUCUGGGAUAAGCCUGGGAAACCGGGUCUAAUACCGGAUAUGACUCCAUGACGCAUGUUGUGGGGUGGAAAGCCUUGUGCGGCUGAGGAUGGGCCCGCGGCCUAUCAGCUUGUUGGUGGGGUGANGGCCUACCAAGGCGACGACGGGUAGCCGGCCUGAGAGGGCGACCGGCCACACUGGGACUGAGACACGGCCCAGACUCCUACGGGAGGCAGCAGUGGGGAAUCUUGCGCAAUGGGCGAAAGCCUGACGCAGCGACGCCGCGUGGAGGAUGAAGGUCUUCGGAUUGUAAACUCCUGUUGCUCGGGACGAAUGGCUCCGGCCUAAUACGUCGGAGUGUGACGGUACCGGGUGA
rnacentral:rRNA from 1 species